ACCGUUAAACGGCCGCGGUAUCCUGACCGUGCAAAGGUAGCAUAAUCACUUGUUCUCUAAAUAGGGACUUGUAUGAAUGGCCACACGAGGGUUUUACUGUCUCUUACUUCCAAUCAGUGAAAUUGACCUUCCCGUGAAGAGGCGGGAAUAUACUAAUAAGACGAGAAGACCCUAUGGAGCUUUAACUACUUAGCCCAAAGAAAUAAACCUCAUCGCUAAGGAAACAACAACACUCUUUAUGGGCUAACAGCUUUGGUUGGGGUGACCUCGGAGAACAAGAAAACCUCCGAGCGAUUUUAAAGACUAGACCUACAAGUCGAAUCACACAAUCGUUUAUUGAUCCAAAAAAUUGAUCAACGGAACAAGUUACCCUAGGGAUAACAGCGCAAUCCUAUUCAAGAGUCCAUAUCGACAAUAGGGUUUACGACCUCGAUGUUGGAUCAGGACAUCCCGAUGGUGCAACCGCUAUCAAAGGUUCGUUUGUUCAACGAUUAAAGUCCUACGUGAUCUGA
rnacentral:rRNA from 1 species